UUUUAGAAAAGGAAAUAUCUUCACAUAAAAAUUUGACAGAAGCAUUCUGAGAAACUGCUUUGUGAUGUGUGCAUUCAACUCACGGAGUUGAACAGACUUUAUCAUAGAGCAGUUUUGAAAUACUCUUUUAGUAGAAUCUGCAAGUGGAAAUUUGGACCUCUUUGAGGCCUUCAUUGGAAAAGGGAAUAGCUUCAUGUAAAUACUAGAUAGAAGCAUUCUGAGAAGCUACUUUGUGAUGUGUGCAUUCAACUCACAGAGUUGAACAUACCUUAUCAUAGAGUAGUUUUGAAGCACUCUUAUAGAGGAAUCUGCAAGGGGAUAUUUGGACUAAUUUGAGGCCAUCGUUGGAAACGGGAAUAUCAUCACAUAAACACUAGACAGAAGCAUUCUCAGAAACUUCUUAGUGAUGUGUGCAUUCAACUCACAGAGUUGAACCUUCCUUUUCAUAGAGCAGGUUUGAAACACUCUUUUUGCAGAAUCAGCAAGUGUACAUUUGGAGCGCUUUGAGGCCUAGGGUGGAAAAGGAAAUAUCUUCACAUAAAAACUAGACAGAAGCAUUCUCGGAAACUAUUUUGUGAUGUUUG
rnacentral:lncRNA from 10 species